rnacentral:lncRNA from 1 species
UGGAGGACUGACUUUUGAGGUCGUUCCAGGGUCUCCAAGGUUCCUUGAUUAACCUUUUUUGGAGUUGCAUCUGUGGGGCAAAAGAUCUCCGCAUACUUUCUUAUGGAUUCAACUGAAUUCAUGACAGACCUGGGGCCAAUCCGCCGUGCCAUGCCUUUCACGCUCCCUGUUGAGUGUCACUUUAACAGAGCUGUGGAGAAGGUUAUUGUCCAACGAAGAGUACACCAUUGGUCACCCCAUGUACUUCCAGGCAGACGGACCUCCUCUUGCUGAGGACGAGAGGCUGUUUUUAGAUUUGUGCUAUGUGACUAUUAGCAGUUCACAUUGUCCAUGCCACGAUUUACAGUCAUUGAAAACCAUGGGUAACACUUCGUUUUUAUAAAGUGAAUGUAAGAAUACAUUUUAUUUUAUUAAUAUUUAAAG